rnacentral:lncRNA from 1 species
UGGCCAUAGCAGUGUUAUUAAUAAAAAAAAAUUCAUUUAAAAUCACUAUUAGAUUUGAUCUGAUCGGAUCUAUUAUAUGACUGAUGAUGAGAUUUGACGAUUUAUCCAUGACCUACCAUCUAGUAGGGACUUACGAUAGAGGGACUGUAUCAUAUUUAACUAUACCUAGAGGUUUUAUUUUGAUUUUACUGGGCUACCACUAUAUAUUGCUAGAUGUCACUGGUGGAUUGUAAGAAUUCAAUUGGAUCAUUUUGAAUCAAU